GAUUAAGUUAUUAAGGGCGCACGGUGGAUGCCUUGGCACUAGAAGCCGACGAAGGACGUUACUAACGACGAUAUGCUUUGGGUAGCUGUAAGUAAGCGUUGAUCCAGAGAUUUCCGAAUGGGGGAACCCAGCACGAGUUAUGUCGUGUUAUCGACAAGUGAAUUCAUAGCUUGUCAGAAGGCAGACCCGGAGAACUGAAACAUCUUAGUACCCGGAGGAAG
rnacentral:rRNA from 1 species